AUGGACCACGCGUCCACUGCGGUUCUGAGCGCGCCGUCCGCGCCCACCUGACAGCUGCNUACCUGUUGUUCGCC
rnacentral:sRNA from 1 species